rnacentral:rRNA from 1 species
GACGAACGCUGGCGGCGUGCUUAACACAUGCAAGUCGAACGGAAAGGCCCUGCUUUUGUGGGGUGCUCGAGUGGCGAACGGGUGAGUAACACGUGAGUAACCUGCCCUUGACUUUGGGAUAACUUCAGGAAACUGGGGCUAAUACCGGAUAGGAGCUCCUGCUGCAUGGUGGGGGUUGGAAAGUUUCGGCGGUUGGGGAUGGACUCGCGGCUUAUCAGCUUGUUGGUGGGGUAGUGGCUUACCAAGGCUUUGACGGGUAGCCGGCCUGAGAGGGUGACCGGCCACAUUGGGACUGAGAUACGGACCAGACUCCUACGGGAGGCAGCAGUGGGGAAUAUUGCCCAAUGGGCGGAAGCCUGAUGAAGCAACGCCGCGUGCGGGAUGACGGCCUUCGGGUUGUAAACCGCUUUCGCCUGUGACGAAGCGUGAGUGACGGUAAUGGGUAAAGAAGCACCGGCUAACUACGUG